rnacentral:rRNA from 1 species
GACGUAGGAUGCGAGCGUUGUUCGGAAUUAUUGGGCGUAAAGCGCGCGUAGGCGGUUUUGUAAGUCGGAUGUGAAAGCCCCGGGCUUAACCUGGGAAUUGCAUUCGAUACUGCGUGACUAGAGUAUGGUAGAGGGAAGCGGAAUUCCGGGUGUAGCGGUGAAAUGCGUAGAUAUCCGGAGGAACACCAGUGGCGAAGGCGGCUUCCUGGACCAAUACUGACGCUGAGGCGCGAAAAGCGUGGGGGAGCAAACAGGGAUUAAGAAAACCCCUGGG